rnacentral:misc_RNA from 1 species
UUUCCGUAGGUGAACCUGCGGAAGGAUCAUUAUCAUGUAAUUCAGUCCCCUUGGCUGUGUUAUAUAUAUACCCACUCUGUGUACCUUCUCCUGUUGCUUCCGCUGGGUGUGUAAUUCGCCCGGCGGAAGGGUAAAAAUAACCUCUGAGUAUUGAUGAAAUCUCUGUCUGGACCGAAUAGAAAGAAAAAUGUUAAAACUUUCAGCAACGGAUCUCUUGGUUCUC